GACGAACGCUGGCGGCGUGCUUAACACAUGCAAGUCGAACGGAAAGGCCCUUCGGGGUCCUCGAGUGGCGAACGGGUGAGUAACACGUGGGUGAUCUGCCCUGCACUUUGGGAUAAGCCUGGGAAACUGGGUCUAAUACCGAAUAGGACCACGCGCUUCAUGGUGUGUGGUGGAAAGCUUUUGCGGUGUGGGAUGGGCCCGCGGCCUAUCAGCUUGUUGGUGGGGUAAUGGCCUACCAAGGCGACGACGGGUAGCCGGCCUGAGAGGGUGACCGGCCACACUGGGACUGAGAUACGGCCCAGACUCCUACGGGAGGCAGCAGUGGGGAAUAUUGCGCAAUGGGCGCAAGCCUGAUGCAGCGACGCCGCGUGAGGGAUGACGGCCUUCGGGUUGUAAACCUCUUUCAAUAGGGACGAAGCGCAAGUGACGGUACCUAUAGAAGAAGCACCGGCCAACUACGUG
rnacentral:rRNA from 1 species